ACACAAGCCUGCUCCAAAGCCCACUGAAGCCAAUGGGAGUCUUUCCAAUGACUUCAGUGGGCUUUGAAGCAGGCCCUCUGGGU
rnacentral:pre_miRNA from 1 species